CCUACGGGAGGCAGCAGUGGGGAAUAUUGGACAAUGGGGGGAACCCUGAUCCAGCCAUGCCGCGUGUGUGAAGAAGGCCCUCGGGUUGUAAAGCACUUUCAGUGAGGAAGAACGCCUGGUGGUUAAUACCCAUCAGGAAAGACAUCACUCACAGAAGAAGCACCGGCUAACUCCGUGCCAGCAGCCGCGGUAAUACGGAGGGUGCGAGCGUUAAUCGGAAUUACUGGGCGUAAAGCGCGCGUAGGUGGCUUGAUAAGCCGGUUGUGAAAGCCCCGGGCUCAACCUGGGAACGGCAUCCGGAACUGUCAAGCUAGAGUGCAGGAGAGGAAGGUAGAAUUCCCGGUGUAGCGGGGAAAUGCGUAGAGAUCGGGAGGAAUACCAGUGGCGAAGGCGGCCUUCUGGACUGACACUGACACUGAGGUGCGAAAGCGUGGGUAGCAAACAGGAUUAGAUACCCUAGUAGUC
rnacentral:rRNA from 1 species